CGCCUCUUGCUAACAAAGGAAGUACUAGAGGUCCCGCCUGCCCUGUGACCACAAAGUUUAACGGCCGCGGUAUCCUGACCGUGCGAAGGUAGCGUAAUCAUUUGUCUUUUAAAUAGAGACCUGUAUGAAUGGCAUAACGAGGGUUUAACUGUCUCCUUCCCCAAGUCAAUGAAAUUGAUCUGCCCGUGCAGAAGCGGACAUAAAUACAUAAGACGAGAAGACCCUAUGGAGCUUUAGACAAAAGAUCAAACAUGUAAAGAAACCAAAACAACCAAAAGGAACACGAAGGCCACAAAACCCAAC
rnacentral:rRNA from 1 species